rnacentral:lncRNA from 1 species
UGUGCUCUUCUCUCCCGCCAACGCCUCAUACUCAUACACCCCCUUUCCCCCCACCCCCACUCUCUCCGGCGUGUCCUCUUCUCUCCGCUUCACACCCUCGACGCACAGCAGGACCAGAAACUCAUGUUCGGCCUCCUCUUCUCCCUCCGCUCCUUCACAACCAAGGGUCCAAGUCCCCCCCCCCCCCCGCGGUUGCUCCCGUCAAGAUCUUGUUUACGGACUCGGGAGGAAACGAGAAAAGGAUCCAAAAAUUCUAAAGAUUUGGGAAGCUUCACAAGAUUUGCCUGCCUGUUGUUGAGGUAUUGUCUCCUCUUUCUAUUUUUGAAAAAAAAAAUCGCAUAAAUAAGCCGUGAUUUGAUCUUUAUUUUCUAAUCGUUGCGAUUUUCCUAUCCUUUUUGGAGAUGUGGUCUUCCCCCUCCGUUUUUCUCCUCUCCUAUUCAAUUAAGUUGUCCGUGCCCUAUUUUCCUUUUUCAUUGUUCGGGGAAAACCAAGAUUUGUUCUUCGUGUCGUUUUCUUUUUAUUUGUUCUUCUUUUAUGUUAUUUGUAAAUUUAUUCCGCACUGUUUGUAUCUUCUAACAUUAGGUCUCAAGUUUUUUUUUUAAAUUUUUGGGUUAUCUUAUGCUAUUCAGCGAUUUUCAUUUAUGUUCGAGCAUUGACAUUGGCUACUUUUUAAUUCCACUUAGGAUGCUUAUCUUUAGCUUAUUCAGAUAUUUUUGGGAAAUUUUUUAGGCUUUCCUUUUCUUAAUGUGUCGGGGUUUGAAUCUGUACAUAUCUUUGUGUGAUAUUGUUAUUUGAUGUACUAUGUGCAUAGAAAAGAUGAAAGAAAAGAUCUAUAUGAACACGUUUAAGCUGAUAUUCAAAGCUUUCUGUUAAAAUUGCGGGAUUUUAUUCUCCCUCUUCCACUCCCCCUUCCAGGUGGGUGUUUGUAAUUCAUACUUUUAGGUAUUUGCAUAUAUUCACAUGGUUUUUUUCUGGAUUCUUGUUAGGUAGAGACUGGUAAGUAAAGCUGUUUUCUGGAUUCUUGUUAGGUAGAUAGAUUUUAAAGCCAUGGUGAAAGAAACCGAGUAUUAUGAUACUUUGGGUGUGAAUGUUGAUGCAUCUGCUGCUGAGAUAAAGAAGGCCUACUACAUCAAGGUAACAAAACAUUCCAAACGGGCCGGCCCAGGUUAGGGCCCAACUGGGCCGGCCCAAAUGGGCUCGGGCCGGGCUCGGGCCGGGUCGGGCCUUGUUCCUUAAAAAUUUUUCGGGCCCCGGCCCGGCCCGAAGCCCGGAAAAAAAAUUCGGGCCGGGCUCGGGUAGGGGUUUGGC